rnacentral:misc_RNA from 1 species
GGUACCUGAAGAAAAAGCAUCGGCUAACUCCGUGCCAGCAGCCGCGGUAAUACGGAGGAUGCAAGCGUUAUCCGGAAUCAUUGGGCGUAAAGGGUCCGCAGGUGGCGAAUAAAGUCUGCUGUUAAAGACCGGGGCUAAACUCCGGAAAGGCAGUGGAAACUGAUUAGCUAGAGUACGGUAGGGGUAGAGGGAAUUCCCAGUGUAGCGGUGAAAUGCGUAGAUAUUGGGAAGAACACCGGUGGCGAAAGCGCUCUACUAGGCCGAAACUGACACUGAGGGACGAAAGCUAGGGUAGCGAAAGGGAUUAGAUACCCCUGUAGUCUUAGCGGUAAACGAUGGAUACUAGGUGUAGCUUGUAUCGACCCGAGCUGUGCCGAAGCUAACGCGAUAAGUAUCCCGCCUGGGGAGUACGCACGCAAGUGUGAAACUCAAAGGAAUUGACGGGGGCCCGCACAAGCGGUGGAGUAUGUGGUUUAAUUCGAUGCAACGCGAAGAACCUUACCAGGGCUUGACAUGUCGCGAAUCUAGCGGAAACGUUAGAGUGCCUUAGGGAAUGCGAACACAGGUGGUGCAUGGCUGUCGUCAGCUCGUGUCGUGAGAUGUUGGGUUAAGUCCCGCAACGAGCGCAACCCUCGUCCUUAGUUGCCAAUAUUAAGUUAGGCACUCUAGGGAGACUGCCGGGGACAACUCGGAGGAAGGUGGGGAUGACGUCAAGUCAGCAUGCCCCUUACGUCCUGGGCGACACACGUACUACAAUGGUUGGGACAAAGGGCAGCAAACUCGCGAGAGUAAGCGAAUCUCAUCAAACCCAGCCACAGUUCAGAUUGCAGGCUGCAACUCGCCUGCAUGAAGUAGGAAUCGCUAGUAAUCGCAGGUCAGCAUACUGCGGUGAAUUCGUUCCCGGGCCUUGUACACACCGCCCGUCACACCAUGGAAGCUGGCUACGCCCGGAGUCGUUACCCUAACCCGGUUUUGGGAGGGGGAUGCCGAAGGUAGAGCUAGUGACUGGGGUGAAGUCGUAACAAGGUAGCCGUACCGGAAGGUGUGGCUGGAUCACCUCCUUUACAGGGAGACCUAGUCUAAUUACCAAUAGAUAAAAAAGCUGGUAAUUCGCAAGAAUCCUUAGGUCGUGAGGGGAGCAAGAAAAAACUUUCAAACUGUAAUGGGUGAGGGUCAAUGGGCUAUUAGCUCAGGUGGUUAGAGCGCAUCCCUGAUAAGGGUGAGGUCCCUGGUUCAAGUCCAGGAUGGCCCACCUAAAAUACACAGGCAUCCUGCCUGUGCCACAAAAAAAGGAAAAAGUUUUGGCAUUGUCUCUUGUAAUCAAGAGCAAGAGAUAAUGCUGGAAUAGAUUCCA